rnacentral:tRNA from 1 species
GCCUUCGUGGUGUAGUGUUCAGCACGUUGGACGCGUAUUCCAAACGUCCAUGGUUCGAGUCCCGGCGAAGGCG